rnacentral:rRNA from 1 species
UACGUAGGGUGCGAGCGUUAAUCGGAAUUACUGGGCGUAAAGCGUGCGCAGGCGGUUUGGUAAGACAGAUGUGAAAUCCCCGGGCUUAACCUGGGAAUUGCAUUUGUGACUGCCCGGCUAGAGUGUGUCAGAGGGGGGUAGAAUUCCACGUGUAGCAGUGAAAUGCGUAGAGAUGUGGAGGAAUACCGAUGGCGAAGGCAGCCCCCUGGGAUAACACUGACGCUCAUGCACGAAAGCGUGGGGAGCAAACAGG